rnacentral:lncRNA from 1 species
AAACAUCGUAGACUCCUCCGGGUAAAUAUGGUCAAUCUACUUUAACAGUACUCAUACUGUAACCGUCUUCAAUGCAGCAUGCUCUUAUCCUGCUAUCAGUUUUAAAGGAUGCCACUCCUGUGCUUUGGUAAUAGCGGCUGUAACAGCCUUGGUUGUUCUGAUGUGUACUGGUGGUGUCACUGGAAUUCCCAAAUUUCCUGCAAGAAAAUUGCAAAUAAAAGGAUUCUCAUUGUGCUGUGAG